GACAGAGGUGCCAAGCGUUAGGCGGAAUCACUGGGCUUAAAGCGUGUGUAGGCGGCUAGGUAAGUCGGAUGUGAAAGCCCCGGGCUCAACUCGGGAAGUGCACUCGAUACUGCUUAGCUCGAGUACCGGAGAGGUUGGUGGAAUUCUCGGUGUAGAGGUGAAAUUCGUAGAUAUCGAGAGGAACACCGGUGGCGAAGGCGGCCAACUGGACGAGUACUGACGCUGAGACACGAAAGCGUGGGGAGCAAACAGG
rnacentral:rRNA from 1 species